UGUCUGGUAAUGUGGUUGACGAG
rnacentral:siRNA from 1 species